UUUUCGAGCGAGCUUAAGUAGCUCGCGGGUUAGCUCGACUCGUUUGCACACCCAUGGAACCACUCCGGUUUUGUUUUCAGCUUUGGCUGGGUGAUUACAUGUGACAAAGUUCUCUGAUAAAAGUAUCACAUUUUGCAUCGAGGCAUGUUUACCAAAUCACGCUGGCAAAAAAAGAAAUUACCGUUGAAGGCCGUGAUGUGCCGAAACCUAUUAAGAUUUAAGACUUCCAGUGAUGCCAGAUUUGCAGGUGAUACCGCUACACCUGCCCUCUGGUGAUACAUCAAUCGAGAGAACAAUACAGAUAGAUAGAACAAGUGAUCAGAUCGAGGCUAAAAACCAAUGGUUAAUGAAAUUAUGAGUGAGAAUCGUGCAAGAAAGUCAAUGGGGGCCGGAUAUUCUCCGCACGGUUAUCAAGCCCAACCGGUGUGCCAUAACAGUCGGGUUCUAUAGAUGAGUACAUUGAAGUUGAAGAGAAACUGCUGGCCUAAAAACCAAAACCUUGGACUUUGUGCAUGCUGCUAGUCUCCCCUAUGCAAUUGGGACCAUGUAUAAUGGUCUAGAGCGAGCCAGUUUCUCAAAAGGUUUACUAUGCUGCUGAUUGUUCAUGGGGCUGGUAUGUGUUAUUGUUGGACACAUACAUCGCUUGCAAGCAUACUUGCUAGCAAUAACCCAACUUCUACUGUUGCAUAGAAUUAAACCCCAGCAGCACUAGUUCCAGCAAAGGUAAACAAGGCUUGAUCUAUCUUGUUUAUCUAUUGUCGAUGUGGCAUUGAGUCAGACAAGGAGCAAGAACAAGAAAGAAGCGUGAAACAGUUUUUAGUUUGUGUAUUGUCAUUUCCCUUUGCAACUUUUGUAGAUAGCUUUUGAU
rnacentral:lncRNA from 1 species